rnacentral:rRNA from 1 species
GACGAACGCUGGCGGCGUGCCUAAUACAUGCAAGUAGAACGCUGAAGGAGGAGCUUGCUCUUCUGGAUGAGUUGCGAACGGGUGAGUAACGCGUAGGUAACCUGCCUGGUAGCGGGGGAUAACUAUUGGAAACGAUAGCUAAUACCGCAUAAUAGUAGAUGUUGCAUGACAUUUGCUUAAAAGGUGCAAUUGCAUCACUACCAGAUGGACCUGCGUUGUAUUAGCUAGUUGGUGAGGUAACGGCUCACCAAGGCAACGAUACAUAGCCGACCUGAGAGGGUGAUCGGCCACACUGGGACUGAGACACGGCCCAGACUCCUACGGGAGGCAGCAGUAGGGAAUCUUCGGCAAUGGACGGAAGUCUGACCGAGCAACGCCGCGUGAGUGAAGAAGGUUUUCGGAUCGUAAAGCUCUGUUGUAAGAGAAGAACGAGUGUGAGAGUGGAAAGUUCACACUGGACG